rnacentral:rRNA from 1 species
GACGAACGCUGGCGGCGUGCUUAACACAUGCAAGUCGAACGAAGUGGCGAACGGGUGAGUAACGCGUAAUCAACCUGCCCUUCAGAGGGGGACAACAGUUGGCAACGCCUGCUAAUACCGCAUACCGCAGGACGGGGUUGCGUCUGAUUAGCACGUUGGAGGGGUAACGGCCUACCAAGGCGAGGAUCAGUAGCCGGUCUGAGAGGAUGAACGGCCACCGUGGGACUUAGACACGGCCCAGACUCCUACGGGAGGCAGCAGUGGGGAAUCUUCCGACAUGGACGAAAGUCUUACGGAGCAACGCCGCGGGAGUGAUGACGGCCUUCGGGUUGUAAAGCUCUGUUAAUCGGGACGCGGUACCGGCAUAGAAAGCCACGGCUAACUACGUGCCAGCCGCCGCGGUAAUUC